GACGAACGCUGGCGGCGUGCUUAACACAUGCAAGUCGAACGAUGAAGCCUUCGGGUGGAUUAGUGGCGAACGGGUGAGUAACACGUGGGUGAUCUGCCCUGCACUUUGGGAUAAGCCUGGGAAACUGGGUCUAAUACCGAAUAUGAUCAUGCUCUUCAUGGGGUGUGGUGGAAAGCUUUUGCGGUGUGGGAUGGGCCCGCGGCCUAUCAGCUUGUUGGUGGGGGAAUGGCCUACCAAGGCGACGACGGGUAGCCGGCCUGAGAGGGUGACCGGCCACCCUGGGACUGAGAUACGGCCCAGACUCCUACGGGAGGCAGCAGUGGGGAAUAUUGCACAAUGGGCGCAAGCCUGAUGCAGCGACGCCGCGUGAGGGAUGACGGCCUUCGGGUUGUAAACCUCUUUCAGCAGGGACGAAGCGCAAGUGACGGUACCUGCAGAAGAAGGACCGGCCAACUACGUGCCAGCAGCCGCCGUAA
rnacentral:rRNA from 1 species